rnacentral:sRNA from 1 species
UCUACCUAAAUAAUAGAGUAUCCUAAGAGAUUGCGGAAGCCCGAUUUACCAGUCUUUUAGAACUUUAAGCGAUUUGAAGAAACUGAUAAAUUUAUUUGGUUUUCUGCUAAAAAUCCUGCCAAAAAAUCUUUGGCAGGAUUUUUAUU